UAUUGCUACCACCCUGAAAGUACCCCAUCUCAUCUGAUCUCAGAAACUACACAGGGUUGGACCCUGGCUGCUAUAC
rnacentral:rRNA from 1 species